GGGUGAGUAAUGCAUCAGAACGUACCCCGGAGUGGGAGAUAACGCCGCAAAAGCCGCUCUUAUACCGCAUAUGCUCUGAGAAAGAAAGUGGGAUACCGCAAGGUCUCACGCUCUGGGAGCGGCCGAUGUCCUAUUAUCUAUUUGGUGGGGUAAAGGCCCCCCAGGGCCACUAUCGGUAGCUGGUCUGAGAAGAUGAUCACCCACUCUGGCACUGACACACGCCCCACACUCCUACGGGAGGCAGCUGUGGGGAAUUUUGAACUGUGGGGGCAACCCUGAUCCACCCCUGCCGCGUGCGGGAAAAAGGCCUUCGGGUUGUAAACCUCUUUUACCCGGAAAGAAAAGGCAUCUCCUAAUACGAGGUGUUCUUGACGGUACCGGCAGAAUAAACACCGGCUAACUACGUGCCAGCACCCGCGGUAAUACGUAGGGUGCGAGCUUUAAUCAGAAUUACUGGGCGUAAAGCGUGCGCAGGCGGUUUGUUAACUUCGUUGUGAUAGCCCCGGUCUCAACCUGGGAAUGGCAAUGGAAACUGGCAGGCUAGAGUGCGUCAGAGGGGGGUGGAAUUCCGCGUGUAGCAGUGAAAUGCGUAGAGAUGCGGAGGAACACCGAUGGCGAAGGCAGCCCCCUGGGACGACACUGACGCUCAGGCACGAAAGCGUGGGGAGCAAACAGGAUUAGAUACCCUGGUAGUCCACGCCCUAAACGAUGUCGACUGGGUGUCGGGGGAGAGAUCUCUCAGUACCGUAGCUAACGCGUGAAGUCGACCGCCUGGGGAGUACGGCCGCAAGGUUAAAACUCAAAGGAAUUGACGGGGACCCGCACAAGCGGUGGAUGAUGUGGAUUAAUUCGAUGCAACGCGAACAACCUUACCUACCCUUGACAUGUCAGGAACCCUGCUGAGAGGUGGGGGUGCCCGAAAGGGAAUCUGAACACAGGUGCUGCAUGGCUGUCGUCAGCUCGUGUCGUGAGAUGUUGGGUUAAGUCCCGCAACGAGCGCAACCCUUAUCCCUAGUUGCUACGCAAGGGCACUCUAGGGAGACUGCCGGUGACAAACCGGAGGAAGGUGGGGAUGACGUCAAGUCCUCAUGGCCCUUAUGGGUAGGGCUUCACACGUCAUACAAUGGCCGGUACAGAGGGUUGCCAACCCGCGAGGGGGAGCCAAUCCCAGAAAGCCGUUCGUAGUCCGGAUCGCAGUCUGCAACUCGACUGCAUGAAGUCGGAAUCGCUAGUAAUCGCGGAUCAGCAUGCCGCGGUGAAU
rnacentral:rRNA from 1 species